rnacentral:rRNA from 1 species
AAACCGAAACCCUUGGAUCGAUCCCUCGUUAGAGUAACGAGGCCCCCUCGACUCCUCUCUCGAUCUGUUUCCGGGAUUGAACGCCGCCGCCGCCGCCGCCGAUCCCAUCUUCCCCGGCGACAUGCCUCGCCGGCGGCCUCCUCUCCCCCAUCCACGCCGGCGACCUCCCUCUACCCCGCCCUCUCCGUCAACCCGUCUCUCCAGCAGCUCGGGCGAAACCCUAGCCCACCCGAUGCCACGACAACCUAGCAGGCAGGCGCGAGGAGCCCUGCCCAGCCAUGGCGACACCGCCGGCGGCCUCCUCCUCCCCCUCACCUUCUCUCCCUCUCCCAAGGGAGGGAAGGUAAUGGAAGGGAUCCGGCGGCAAGGGGAGGCAGCGCCCAGAUCCGCAGCCGCACCGGCGGGCCGCCAUCCCUCGAGGUCGUCCAUGGAGGUCCGAACGUGAUACAGGCUUGAGUCAUACAGUAGCCCAGUAACAAGCCGAGGCCUAGGAAGUGCCUUCAUGCGACGGCGACCUGAAGGUGUGGGAACAUGCGACGGCGACCUGAAGGCGUGGGAACAGAGCUGGGACGUGCAGCGCCCUGCACAAGUCGGGUCGCGCACGGAGCGAGCGCCGUGCCAACGCAUCCAUCAAUAGGACGCGGUGCCUCCAUGUGUGUGCGGGGUGGAUCCAAGGCCGUGCAAAAUGAGAUCGGCGGCGGGCAGACCUGUGCCGAUUUAAUGGGCUGGUGAUGUUUGCAGGCGAUGGCGCCGCGGCGUGGCUGUGGGUGUGGCCCGACCUCUGCCUCCUCUAUCACGUGCAAUCGUCCUUCUACGCCAUCACCACCUCUCCCUUGAUGUGUUCCUCUUCCUCGUGAUCCCGCCUCCUGUUCCUCGCCAGAUGACUACAACAGCCAGCGGUCACCUCAUAUGCGGCGAGCUCGGAGGAGGUUGCAGGUGGGAUAACUGAUGAGGAAUGCUCGUGACAUUGAUGAACUUGAUAUGAGUGUUUUGUAGAUCAUCAUCCAACCGACGUGCCAGACAUGCUACAUAUUGGCAUGAUGGACUUCUAUGGUACAAGGACAUUGGGCACCAUGUAAAUGUGACUAAUGGUUUGCUUCGGGACACGUUCAGUGUCCUCUGAUGUACUGAAGAAAGCAUAUUAAGCUACAUAAACAUGGAUUCUUCUCUAUUGUCACAAAACAGCUGGCUCUUGGGGUUUCCAAAGCCUCUUUUGGGGAUGCAGCUGGAGGGUUCCAUGGCGUUUUUAGCAGGGACGGUGUGCGGCAGGUUACGUGUGCUGGACACGUCAAGUUGAGGUGCCUAAAGUUUCUAUAUGGCUUAAUUUUGUCGCUCUCAGCACCCUUGCAAGAUCAUUGUUUUAUGAACUCUUCAAAAUUUCUCUACUUUUACUGAAUUUGGGUCUUUGUUUCUAAGAUUCCCCUAACUUAUGUUGUCAUCUGGUUCUCCCAUCUUAUAGGUUAUUUGCUCAGUUGACCAUUUAUAACAAGGAACAAAAAAAUCACUAGGUGUUCUAUACAUGUCCUCCAGUAUGGUAUACUAUUCGUUUUUAAGAAUUUGUAUGCCCUUUUUCUGGAAUGUCGUCUCUUGGAUACAUCAAGAUAGUUGAUUCCAAUUGUUAUUGUUGUUGUUUUCAUACUACAUUGUUGCUACUGUUCCUAAGUGUAGCGUACGAUUUUUUUUGAUCAUCAUUGCCCUUUCUAGGUCAAUUUUGAUAUAUUUAAGCUACUAUAGUUGGGAAGCUAUUUUAGGAAAGUGUCAAUGCUACCUCGGAGGUUUCUUUAAUAUCUGAUGAGUAUCAGCAAAAUAUAUGACACCACAAUGAUGUCUAGAACAGGAAGUGAUUAGGCCUCAAUGCUAUAUCUAUAUGUUUGCUGGAUUGUAGCAGCUUCAAACCGUGUUUUAAGAACUCCAAUUUUCCCAAAUCUGAAUGCACAAAAACUUCUUGGUAUUUCACAACAAUAUAAAUUACACCGAUUUUUAACUGACUAUCAGGUGUAUCUUCUUUCGGUCUGUUAAUUUGAUCUCCGUGUGAACACAUAUGUGUCAGUUUCAUCAUGCUAGCAAGGAGAAUCAGGUGUUCCUCCGUCGCCGCCGUUGCCACCAACAACAAAAAUGACGACCAGCUCAUGAGACGGCUAAUAGAGAAUUGGAGCCUUCUUGAGAAGGCAACACACUUGAGAUCAAGAGAGAGGGGGGAGAGAUCGAGGGAGGGAGAGGGAGGAAGGAAGGGGGAGAUUUUGCAGGUACACAGGACAACCAUGUUAUAAAAUGUAAAUGAGAUUUGGUGGUAAGUCAUCAUUGUGUUUUCCCAAUCUGUCAGACAUCAUUGCGUUUGUUCCCAACCUGUCAGACAUUAUAAAUUUCAUGUUGAAUAUGUCAUAGAAAUGUUUCUCAAUAAAUAUGUUUUUUUUGCUCUUGAUAUUUUAAUAUGAUUGUAAAUUCAUCCAUUUAGAUAUCACUCUGAGAAAUAUUUAUAGUUGGGACAAGGAAGAAAAGGAAAUGGCUUUAACAGUAAGAAAGAAGUCGCCGAUGCAUUUAGUUUUGAAUGGUAUAUGACAUUUAGUACUCCCUUUUAUCCAUGUUACUUCGUCACAGUUGCACACAAAUCUGUUGUUACAUCCUACAAAAAUGCAAAGGGGAAGUAUGUUGUUAGGUGCACUCUCAUGAUAAAGAUUUCAUUAAAAACACGAAGGGUGAUUCGGUCAGAUAGGGAUCAAAAAUUGGUUACUGCUAUUUCAUUCUAUCCAUUUGGAUGGUAAUUCAGAAUUUAUCUUAUGAAAAUGAAUGUUUGUGAUAUGUUAGUAAUCUAACACUUGUAAAACAAUACAUGCAGGUGCAUGCAAUAGCUCUGAUUUAUUAGAGUAGUUAUCCCAAGUUCCAAGGGACAAGAACAAGAUAAUGGAGCUCAAGGGGUAUUCAAUCAAGAGGCAAGCUGGGAAAAGAAUAUUCAAACCCCUCUGCCCUUGGAAGUAGCUUCUACGUAAAUUGCAUUUAUUGUUAUAAGAUUGUAAUUAUCAAAUGUAUGAAUCUGUGUGAAAUUGUGCAAAGGCCCGCUUGUUCUUUCACUUUUAAUAGAGUUGCACUGUACAUGGAAUUCAAACUCUUUAAACUCGACAACGAUAUUCUUGAUGAGAGCAUAACAAAACCCUGAAAAGGC